AAAAAAUAAUCGCUUAGGAUAGGCGUUCACACGAAUAACUUGCUUUUACCUAAAUCAUUUCUUUACAGAUUUGAGAUUAGGGAGCGUUCUUUAACAUUUUUAUAAGUUCAAUCAAGUCACAUCAUAGUGUCUUAGUUUUUUAAUUUAGAUAUGAAUGAUGUGCAAAUGUCACCAAACCCGUCAUGUUUUAGAACAUAAGUUUUGGUGUACAUACUGCAAAGUAAUUUUGGCGANUGACAAUUAGAUACUUUGGAAGAACAUUUAAUCAUUUAAGUUGGUUUGAAUGGUAAUUAUGGGUCAAGUUAAAUUAAACCGCAAUAACGGUUGGAAUGCCCUUUGGGCAAAAGGGCCGAAAUUCCCAGCCACAACUUGGGCGGGCCCGUUUAACUUAAGUUGGAAUUCCCAAAACCUCCGGUAACCAAAGCCUUUGGCCA
rnacentral:misc_RNA from 1 species